GGGUUGUGAGGUUAAGCGACUAAGCGUACACGGUGGAUGCCCUGGCAGUCAGAGGCGAUGAAGGACGUGCUAAUCUGCGAUAAGCGUCGGUAAGGUGAUAUGAACCGUUAUAACCGGCGAUUUCCGAAUGGGGAAACCCAGUGUGUUUCGACACACUAUCAUUAACUGAAUCCAUAGGUUAAUGAGGCGAACCGGGGGAACUGAAACAUCUAAGUACCCCGAGGAAAAGAAAUCAACCGAGAUUCCCCCAGUAGCGGCGAGCGAACGGGGAGCAGCCCAGAGUCUGAAUCAGUGUGUGUGUUAGUGGAAGCGUCUGGAAAGGCGCGCGAUACAGGGUGACAGCCCCGUACACAAAAAUGCACAUACUGUGAGCUCGAUGAGUAGGGCGGGACACGUGGUAUCCUGUCUGAAUAUGGGGGGACCAUCCUCCAAGGCUAAAUACUCCUGACUGACCGAUAGUGAACCAGUACCGUGAGGGAAAGGCGAAAAGAACCCCGGCGAGGGGAGUGAAAAAGAACCUGAAACCGUGUACGUACAAGCAGUGGGAGCACGCUUAGGCGUGUGACUGCGUACCUUUUGUAUAAUGGGUCAGCGACUUAUAUUCUGUAGCAAGGUUAACCGAAUAGGGGAGCCGAAGGGAAACCGAGUCUUAACUGGGCGUUAAGUUGCAGGGUAUAGACCCGAAACCCGGUGAUCUAGCCAUGGGCAGGUUGAAGGUUGGGUAACACUAACUGGAGGACCGAACCGACUAAUGUUGAAAAAUUAGCGGAUGACUUGUGGCUGGGGGUGAAAGGCCAAUCAAACCGGGAGAUAGCUGGUUCUCCCCGAAAGCUAUUUAGGUAGCGCCUCGUGAAUUCAUCUCCGGGGGUAGAGCACUGUUUCGGCAAGGGGGUCAUCCCGACUUACCAACCCGAUGCAAACUGCGAAUACCGGAGAAUGUUAUCACGGGAGACACACGGCGGGUGCUAACGUCCGUCGUGAAGAGGGAAACAACCCAGACCGCCAGCUAAGGUCCCAAAGUCAUGGUUAAGUGGGAAACGAUGUGGGAAGGCCCAGACAGCCAGGAUGUUGGCUUAGAAGCAGCCAUCAUUUAAAGAAAGCGUAAUAGCUCACUGGUCGAGUCGGCCUGCGCGGAAGAUGUAACGGGGCUAAACCAUGCACCGAAGCUGCGGCAGCGACGCUUAUGCGUUGUUGGGUAGGGGAGCGUUCUGUAAGCCUGUGAAGGUGUGCUGUGAGGCAUGCUGGAGGUAUCAGAAGUGCGAAUGCUGACAUAAGUAACGAUAAAGCGGGUGAAAAGCCCGCUCGCCGGAAGACCAAGGGUUCCUGUCCAACGUUAAUCGGGGCAGGGUGAGUCGACCCCUAAGGCGAGGCCGAAAGGCGUAGUCGAUGGGAAACAGGUUAAUAUUCCUGUACUUGGUGUUACUGCGAAGGGGGGACGGAGAAGGCUAUGUUGGCCGGGCGACGGUUGUCCCGGUUUAAGCGUGUAGGCUGGUUUUCCAGGCAAAUCCGGAAAAUCAAGGCUGAGGCGUGAUGACGAGGCACUACGGUGCUGAAGCAACAAAUGCCCUGCUUCCAGGAAAAGCCUCUAAGCAUCAGGUAACAUCAAAUCGUACCCCAAACCGACACAGGUGGUCAGGUAGAGAAUACCAAGGCGCUUGAGAGAACUCGGGUGAAGGAACUAGGCAAAAUGGUGCCGUAACUUCGGGAGAAGGCACGCUGAUAUGUAGGUGAAGUCCCUUGCGGAUGGAGCUGAAAUCAGUCGAAGAUACCAGCUGGCUGCAACUGUUUAUUAAAAACACAGCACUGUGCAAACACGAAAGUGGACGUAUACGGUGUGACGCCUGCCCGGUGCCGGAAGGUUAAUUGAUGGGGUCAGCGCAAGCGAAGCUCUUGAUCGAAGCCCCGGUAAACGGCGGCCGUAACUAUAACGGUCCUAAGGUAGCGAAAUUCCUUGUCGGGUAAGUUCCGACCUGCACGAAUGGCGUAAUGAUGGCCAGGCUGUCUCCACCCGAGACUCAGUGAAAUUGAACUCGCUGUGAAGAUGCAGUGUACCCGCGGCAAGACGGAAAGACCCCGUGAACCUUUACUAUAGCUUGACACUGAACAUUGAGCCUUGAUGUGUAGGAUAGGUGGGAGGCUUUGAAGUGUGGACGCCAGUCUGCAUGGAGCCGACCUUGAAAUACCACCCUU
rnacentral:rRNA from 1 species